GUGAGGAAUAUUGCGCAAUGGAGGCAACUCUGACGCAGCCAUGCCGCGUGCAGGAAGAAGGCGCUACGCGUUGUAAACUGCUUUUAACCGGGAAGAAACCCCAGGACGUGUCCUGGGUUGACGGUACCGGAGGAAUAAGCACCGGCUAACUUCGUGCCAGCAGCCGCGGUAAUACGAAGGGUGCAAGCGUUAUCCGGAUUCAUUGGGUUUAAAGGGUGCGUAGGCGGAGCGUUAAGUCAGUGGUGAAAUCCUGCAGCUUAACUGUAGACUUGCCAUUGAUACUGGCGCUCUUGAGUGCGCUUGAAGUGGGCGGAAUGUGCCGUGUAGCGGUGAAAUGCUUAGGUAUGGCACAGAACACCAAUUGCGAAGGCAGCUCACUAAGGCGAUACUGACGCUGAGGCACGAAAGCGUGGGGAUCGAACAGGAUUAGAUACCCCGGUAGUCC
rnacentral:rRNA from 1 species